GACGAACGCUGGCGGCGUGCUUAACACAUGCAAGUCGAACGGUGAAGCGCCUUCCUUUUUGGUGGGUGUGGAUGAGUGGCGAACGGGUGAGUAACACGUGAGUAACCUGCCCCCUUCUUCUGGAUAACCGCAUGAAAGUGUGGCUAAUACGGGAUAUUCUGGGUCUGUCGCAUGAUGGGUCUGGGAAAGAUAUUGUUUCGGUGGGGGAUGGGCUCGCGGCCUAUCAGCUUGGUGGUUGGGUGAUUGCCUACCAAGGCGGUGGCGGGUAGCCGGCCUGGGAGGGUCAACGGUCACAGUGGGAAGGAGACGCGGAGAAGACUACUAGAGGGGGCAGCAGUGAAGAAUAUAGCACAAUGGGCGCAAGGCUGAUGCAGCGGCGCGUGGUGAGGGAUGGAGGCCUUCGGGUUGAGAACCUCUUGCGCCAGUGAAGCAUGGCAGCCUCAUUUGUGGGUGGGUUGACGGUACCUGGAUAAGAAGCACCGGCUAACUACGUG
rnacentral:rRNA from 1 species